CGUAUGCAACCUACCUUUGACUGGAGAAUAGCCCUUAGAAAUUCGGAUUAAUGCUCCAUGAGACCACAAUACCGCAUGAUAUAGUGGUAAAAGCUCCGGCGGUCAAAGAUGGGCAUGCGUGCCAUUAGUUAGUUGGUGAGGUUACGGCUCACCAAGACAACGAUGGCUAGGGGGUCUGAGAGGAUGAUCCCCCACACUGGUACUGAGACACGGACCAGACUCCUACGGGAGGCAGCAGUGAGGAAUAUUGGUCAAUGGACGCAAGUCUGAACCAGCCAUGCCGCGUGCAGGAUGAAUGCCCUAUGGGUUGUAAACUGCUUUUCUACAAGAAGAAACUUCCUGAUGUAUCAGGAACUGACGGUAUUGUAGGAAUAAGCAUCGGCUAACUCCGUGCCAGCAGCCGCGGUAAUACGGAGGAUGCAAGCGUUAUCCGGAUUCAUUGGGUUUAAAGGGUGCGUAGGCGGGGUAGUAAGUCAGUGGUGAAAGCCUGCGGCUUAACCGUAGAAUUGCCAUUGAUACUGCUAUUCUUGAGUGCAGUUGAGGUAGGCGGAAUGUGUAAUGUAGCGGUGAAAUGCUUAGAUAUUACACAGAACACCGAUUGCGUAGGCAGCUUACUAAACUGUAACUGACGCUGAGGCACGAAAGCGUGGGGAGCGAACAGGAUUAGAUACCCUGGUAGUCCACGCUGUAAACUAUGAUCACUCGCUGUUGGCGAUACAUUGUCAGCGGCUGAGCGAAAGCAUUAAGUGAUCCACCUGGGGAGUACGGCGGCAAGGUUGUAAGUCAAAGGAAUUGUCGGGGGCCCGCACAAGCGGUGGAACAUGUGGUUUAAUUCGAUGAUACGCGAGGAACCUUACCUGGGGUUAAAUGCAGAACGACGUACCGGGAAACUGGUACUCCCUUCGGGGCGGUCUGCAAGUUGUUGCAUGGUUGUCGUCAGCUCGUGCCGUGAGGUGUCGGGUUAAGUCCCAUAACGAGCGCAUCCGUCAUUGUUAGUUGCCAGCGAGUAAUGUCGGGGACUCUAACGAAACUGCCGGUGUAAACUGUGAGGAAGGUGGGGAUGACGUCAAAUCAGCACGGCCCUUAUGUCCAGGGCUACACACGUGUUACAAUGGCCAGUAUCAAAGGGCAGCUACCACGCGAGUGGAUGCUAAUCUCUAAAGCUGGUCUCAGUUCGGAUUGAA
rnacentral:rRNA from 1 species